rnacentral:rRNA from 1 species
UACGUAGGGUGCAAGCGUUGUCCGGAAUUAUUGGGCGUAAAGAGCUCGUAGGCGGUUCGGCAAGUCGGAUGUGAAAUCUCCACGCUUAACGUGGAGGGGCCAUUCGAAACUGCUGUGACUCGAGUCCGGUAGGGGAGUGUGGAAUUCCCGGUGUAGCGGUGAAAUGCGCAGAUAUCGGGAGGAACACCAGUAGCGAAGGCGGCACUCUGGGCCGGAACUGACGCUGAGGAGCGAAAGCGUGGGGAGCGAACAGG